rnacentral:hammerhead_ribozyme from 1 species
AUCCAGCUGAUGAGUCCCAAAUAGAAUAAAACGGACGUUUUGGAU